rnacentral:rRNA from 1 species
UGGGGAAUAUUGCACAAUGGGCGCAAGCCUGAUGCAGCCAUGCCGCGCGUAUGAAGAAGGCCUUCGGGUUGUAAAGUACUUUCAGCGGGGAGGAAGGCGAUAAGGUUAAUAACCUUGUCGAUUGACGUUACCCGCAGAAGAAGCACCGGCUAACUCCGUGCCAGCAGCCGCGGUAAUACGGAGGGUGCAAGCGUUAAUCGGAAUUACUGGGCGUAAAGCGCACGCAGGCGGUCUGUCAAGUCGGAUGUGAAAUCCCCGGGCUCAACCUGGGAACUGCAUUCGAAACUGGCAGGCUAGAGUCUUGUAGAGGGGGGUAGAAUUCCAGGUGUAGCGGUGAAAUGCGUAGAGAUCUGGAGGAAUACCGGUGGCGAAGGCGGCCCCCUGGACAAAGACUGACGCUCAGGUGCGAAAGCGUGGGGAGCAAACA